CGGGAUGUGGCGCAGUCAGGUAGCGUACUCGCAUGGGGUGCGAGUGGUCGCAGGUUCAAAUCCUGUCAUCCCGACAA
rnacentral:tRNA from 1 species